AGCAUAAGAGGUACUCGGGUAGCCGAGGAGACUUGCCAGUAGAGCCCGGUUGUCGCUCUCGACGGAGAGAGCUGAUGACAAUGGGGCUACAGGCAAAUCAUCCUUGGCUAUCGAAGAUGGCCUCUUACUU
rfam:Oryza glaberrima chromosome 3 Oglab03_0155_10, whole genome shotgun sequence.